UACGGGGGGGAGCAAGCGUUGUUCGGAUUUACUGGGCGUAAAGGGCGCGUAGGCGGCCAGCACAAGUCAGUUGUGAAAUCUCCGAGCUUAACUCGGAAAGGUCAACUGAUACUGUGCGGCUAGAGUGCGGAAGGGGCAACUGGAAUUCCUGGUGUAGCGGUGAAAUGCGCAGAUAUCAGGAAGAACACCUAUGGCGAAGGCAGCUCUCUGGGACGGUACUGACGCUGAGACGCGAAAGCGUGGGGAGCGAACAGG
rnacentral:rRNA from 1 species